rnacentral:rRNA from 1 species
UACAGAGGGGGCAAGCGUUGUUCGGAAUUACUGGGCGUAAAGGGCGCGUAGGCGGCCUGUUAAGUCGAACGUGAAAUCCCCGGGCUCAACCCGGGAACUGCGUCCGAUACUGGCAGGCUUGAAUCCGGGAGAGGGAUGCGGAAUUCCAGGUGUAGCGGAUGAAAUGCGUAGAUAUCUGGAGGAACACCGGUGGCGAAGGCGGCAUCCUGGACCGGCAUUGACGCUGAGGCGCGAAAGCCAGGG